UACGUAGGGUGCGAGCGUUUGUCCGGAAUUAUUGGGCGUAAAGAGCUUGUAGGCGGUUUGUCGCGUCUGCCGUGAAAAUCCGGGGCUCAACCCCGGCCUGCGGUGGGUACGGGCAGACUAGAGUGCGGUAGGGGAGACUGGAAUUCCUGGUGUAGCGGUGAAAUGCGCAGAUAUCAGGAGGAACACCGGUGGCGAAGGCGGGUCUCUGGGCCGUAACUGACGCUGAGGAGCGAAAGCAUGGGGAGCGAACAGG
rnacentral:rRNA from 1 species